GAAACGUGAUGACAAAAUACUUUUUUGGUUAUAAAAACCUAAAUUUUUCCUGAGAAAGAAUUAUUACACAAAUUAUAUCUAAAGUUGACAUGAAUAUAAACAGCAUCUACACUACACAAAAAUUAUUUUUUACUUUUAAGAAUUCAAUCAGACUACUUUCUACUCUCAAGAACGCUAUAUCGGUGCAUGCUUGCAACAAUAACGAGACAAAGUUGUGGGAUCCAUUUCGCUCAAUUUUCGAUCAAUGGAGAACAGCAAAGAGCGAAUUCUGUUGGAUAGAAGUUCGUGUACCGCGCGACCAUCAAAACAGGAUCCGAACCAGCCAACUUCCACCUCUCAGUGCCAGAGUCAAUUUUGGAGUUCGUUGCAACCGCCCACGUCCGACUAUAGCGCGCAAGAUGGCGAUGAGUUUGCAAAGGAGGAAUCUAAUGAACAUCUCGAGACUUUGAAAUUUGUGUUUCCAAAGAAGGUCAAGGCUCGUGGAAGAAGAAAAGCAAACGUCAACAAGCGUAGAGUCACGUUCGCUGAUCAUUAAACUCGUUCGCGCGACAAGCAUUACGUUACAUUAAAAACUGCAGCAAAUGUAAAUAUUGUAUUACACACAUUCGACCGACGCCCGAUCAGAUUUUUCUGUGUAAUAAGAUUUUUCGAUUUCAAAGGCGCGAGUACAGAUGAUGCGGUUUUUAUCGUCGGAAAAUUCUGUAACCGAUAUAUUUGUUAACGAUACUCUCGAUCAUUAAAAGAAAGAUAUUGUCACACACACAGUGUCCUUGUUUAUGAUAAUAAUAUUUUAUUUAUAUUACUUAUAUUUGACUUAUCCAAUAAUGUCGUCUAGGAAUGUGAUUUUCUCAAGUUUUUCGAUUUGCGAUAUUUUAUUAAGACGUUUAAAUAUUUACUUAGCCGAUCGACUGUCGAUUGUUGAAUGCAAUGUCACUUUUAGAGCGAUGUGUUGAAAACUUCAAACCAUUUUUGACACUUAUAACAAAAUUUUCUGUAUUAUUUCAAACUCUCAAAAUUCCAAGUAGAUCGAAAUUUAAACUAAUUUAAUUAAAUAUUACAUGAAUAAGAACAAACAUGAAUGGAUUCAGGAAUUGGGCAUUGCAUGAUCUAUCAUAUAUUUUGCCUACUAAAUCCUUGCAGCAUGAAACGCACGCGUCCACGAAUACAUUUAAACGUUGUCUUUCAAAUUUCCUCAACUCCUCUCGCAAGCAAGAGAAUGCUCGUGAGAGCAGAAGAAUUAAUUUAACAACAGUUUCCAAUAAUCUGGAACCUAUCUUUACAACAUGGAUGGCAUUACCUGAAAUCACUAUGACAUCCUUCAAUUCUCGAUUGCCCACAUAUUUUUUGCCUUUGUCUCUCAAAGUGAAUACGGAAAUAACGCAUCCAGAGGCAUUGAAACCUCUCAUUAAGUACAAAGAGUUAUUAGAAGGAAAUCCAGUAUCUAGAGACAAAUACUACAAAAGGCUUUUAAACAUUCAGGUUAAUGAUUUUGAUUUUAUGUAUAACGACAAUGUGAUAAAACCUAGUAAUGUCCACUGCGAUGAUUGCCGUUCAAAAAUAAUGUUCACUCUUCAAGAAAGUCAAGAACCCAAAAUUAAUCAUACAAUCGAGCAAGAAUCAACUGAUAAUUUAUUGAUUUGUACCACUGGGAAAAAUUUGGAUUCUUCGUCUUGCACAAAGUUAAAAUUAGAAACAGUAAAAAUCAAGCAGCAAGAGUCACGAGAUCAGUUCAAAUUACAGGACAAUCAAUAUUCACGAAAAUAUAACUCGUCGCAAUCUCUAGAAUUUCAGAAUUACAUGUGGAAAGAUCUCUCGAGCACAACGAAGCAAGGGAUUCAGUUUUUGCAUAAUUCUCGAUGUGUUUUGCAAACGCCUACAAAUAUCUCCAAACCAUUACCAUCUUUACUUGAAACAUUGAAAAUAUCGUCUCGAUUUGGUAACUUGACCUACUCCGGAAGUUUGGGAAAUCAAGGAUUUCGAAAUACUUCGUUGUGUCUACCUUCUGUAUCGCGUCGUGUUUUCUCCUCAAAAAGUUGCACCGUGAUUCAGCAAUCUAUUCGAGAGUUUGAAAACUUGAAGAAGAGAGAGGAUCAGAGCGCGAAUACAUUGAUUAUUCGUUUGAGAAAUACGCGAUCGUAUCCAGAUCGCGUUUCUCUGAUGAGACUGCAAUCGUUUUCCUGCGACACUUCAAAGUCGAAAAAAUCCGCCGAUUGCGAGAAGGAUGAUAAGUCAUAUCGAUCGAAAUGUGAAGAUGAGAUCGAGAAAGGUUACGACACGUGUUCUCAAGACAUUGCGAGGAGCCGCUUUGAAAGUAAAAAAAUCUGCGGGAAAACGCGACGGAAGGACACGUGCGUCUCGUCUCAAGAUGACAUGGGUGAGAAACAACAAGAGAGAAAAUCUAAGCUCAACAAAAAGUACAUAUGUCCCGAACUGAACCGACCAAAGCCAUGCACUUGGAAUAAGGAGCGAUGUCCUGAAACUCAUCGGAAGUGUGACGAGAAUAAAACACGAGUCUCAUCAAAGGAUCGCGCACGGCAAUCGAGAGAUUCGAGUUAUUCACAGAAACAAGAUAUUAACAGAAGAUGUAAUAAAAAACGGCAAUCAAAAUCAUAUAAGCAACGUGACGAUUGCGAAAAAGCUGAUGAACCACGUAUAGUCUGUAAAGAGUCUAUGAAAAAAACGGAUAAAUUUGAAUCAAGAUGCAAGAAGCAACAUGUAGAGUGCGACAUUAGUGAGAAAGAACGACGAAAGUGCUCCGGAAACAAUCGAAAGCGAUCUAACAGCUACCGUAAAAGAAAUUCUUCCCGAACUAGUGAUAAAAGCUGCAGCAAAGUAGACGGAAAGCGAUAUUACUCAACAAGCGAUAUUACGAAACAAUCAAUUUUCUCCGUCCCGCCGAAUCGUAAAUCUUUCUCCAAUUCGAUUUCCGAUAUCAUUCGCAUAAAUGUAAGCAAGAGAUUUUAUGUUAACUGCAGCAAAAACAAAAAAGAUCGAAGACAGGCUCCGUCUUGUGAGAAACCAAAAAUGAAGUACGAAACCAAGAAAAAAGAGGAAAUUAAGAAAAAGUGCGUGAAAGGUCCUGCUAAAUGUAUGUCGAGAAAAAAGACUACUGAUAAGACGCAAAUCUAUCAAUCUACGAAAAAAGACGAAGACAAGAAAUUUUGUGAAUCCACGAAAAAAUCUCGUCACGAAGAAUUUUGUGUCAGCAGAAAAAAAGAACUUAAAAGAGACGAAAGGCUUAAAAAAGAACCAGUGAAAGCACCUCCAUCACUUGUAAAAGAUAAAAAGUCUAUGGGACAAUUGAUGAAGGAACAGAUAGAUCGCGAGUAUAAAGAGAUAGACGAAUGCAAGAAGGGCUUCAAAAAAGAGAAAAAGAGCGAUAGAGUCAAAAUGGUUUCCUCAGAAAAGCCGACGGGCUUGGAUCGCAUGAUCAAUUCAUAUAAAAAACAGGAAAAGCAGGAUAUCGAAAAGUUUGUAAGCACACGUAACGAAUCAAUCAUUUCUACGGACGCCGUGUUUAAGUGGUUCAACAUUCAAUCUAGGAUUAUUAAUGGCACGAUUCCAAUUAUUGCCAAGGAUGUCGGACUGUUCAAUGUAAUGUUUGAUCGAUCGUUCUCUACUGCGAAACUGGAUUAUCAGGAUGAUUUUGCUAUCGGACGAACUAUGAACGAUGAUAAAAUAGUUCAGAACUAUUCCGCGAAUGGCGACGAUUUUAUUCAUGGUGAUGAAUUGCCGAAUUAUAUUGAAAUAGAGUAUGAGGACGAAGAAGAUGACGUUCACGAGGAUCACUAACCGACCGGUCUCCAAAAUCAAUUGAAUCUUACGCAAAAGUCACACAUGACUUGGACGAUCGUCGAUUACUCCCCGAGGGACAAAUACGAGUUGAACGAGUGAAACGCAAAUGCGGAGCCUUACGGGGGUUUUGCUCCUUCACGAGACGUCUUUGUAUCGCGACGGAGGCGUGAAUGGCAGUGGGCCAGGAGGCCCAAUUAUGAGUUAUUCAGUCCUCGCCACGGGGUAUCGCGGUGCCGCUCUACCGUCGGUGUAUGCACCUACCUGGCGCCUCCCCCUUCAUUUCGCGUGAGAGCGAGAAAGAGCGAGAAAGAGCGUGCAAGCUGCUGGGACGCGAGACGGGACGACGGGGGUUGAAACGCGGGAUGUAUGGGGUAGAGAACGUGAGGACGUCUCUGCGGGAUUCCCUCCGCCACUUAUGGGAAUGCGAUACGAGCUUUUCGUCGGAUGCUCUCUUGCGUUUUCGCAUUGUUACGCAACCGUCCUUCUCGCGUCCGCGUCACCCUCGUGCACUCCGACAAAGGGAAUCAAUGUCAAUGCGCCGUGCCAUGUUCAUGCUCUGGAGAGGACAAGGAAAGUGAGACUGCUGAAAUGAUGAUUGAGACGAAACUGUCUGUAUCGUGCUCGAUCAGACAUGCGAAGUAAAGUGACGGUAAGGACAUCAUGACGAAUGCGAAUCGGCGCAACUUAUUGUCCCAUCAGCAAGAUCGAGCGAUCGCGGCUCUUUAGAACGAAUCGAGAGGGUUUCUUGCACGUCACAUUAUGGUGUCAACGACUUCUUCGUGGACCACAAACCGCUGGCAUCCGUGUAUCGAGAAUGAAUGGCGUCGCAACGGGUGGCAGGGAGGCGUAUACAACUCGAAUAAAAUGUAUCAAUUCCGUCCUCAUGACGCCGGGGUUCCUUUCCUCGAGGAUCGAUUGUGCGCUCCUUGAAGGACGGAAGUCCCGCAACGGACAACGUCUAUUAUUAGUGCGCGAUGUUGUUCAAUUAUGCGAAUUA